UGGCGCACGGGUGAGUAACGCGUGGAUUAUCUACCUAUUGGUACGGGACAACAGUUGGAAACGACUGCUAAUACCGUAUAAGCUGGUAACGGGAAAGGGGGCCUCUUCUUGAAAGCUCUCGCCAGUAGAUGAGUCCGCGUUUCAUUAGCUAGACGGUGGGGUAACGGCCUACCGUGGCAACGAUGAAUAGCAGGCCUGAGAGGGUGGCCUGCCACACUGGGACUGGAACACGGCCCAGACUCCUACGGGAGGCAGCAGUGGGGAAUAUUGCGCAAUGGACGAAAGUCUGACGCAGCGACGCCGCGUGGAGGAUGAAGGUUUUCGGAUCGUAAACUCCUGUCAAGAG
rnacentral:rRNA from 1 species